CCGGGUUCCUGAGUCGCGUGCGUCGGCAACGGUAGUGACGCGUAUUGCCGAGAGGAUGGCGGACGCCGGCUUACGCCGCGUGGUUCCCAGCGACCUGUAUCCCCUCGUGCUCGGCUUUCUGCGCGAUAACCAGCUCCCGGACGUGGCCAACAAGUUCGCCAAGGCAACAGGCGCUACCCAGCAGGAUGCCAAUGCCUCUUCCCUCUUGGACAUCUAUAGUUUCUGGCUCAAGUCCACCAAGGCCCCAAAGCGGAAGUUACAGGCAAAUGGACCAGUGACUAAGAAGGCUAAGAAGAAGACUUCAUCCAGUGACAGCAGUGAGGACAGCAGUGAGGAGGAAAAAACCCAAGGGCCUCCCGCUAAGAAAGCUGCUGUACCUGCCAAGCGGGCCAGUCUGCUUCAGCAUCCUGGAAAGGCUGCAGUCAAGGCAUCAGAGAGCAGCAGCAGCAGUGAAGAAUCCAGUGAUGAUGAGGAGGAGGACAAAAAGAAAAAGCCUGUCCAGAAGGGAGUUAAGCCCCAAGCCAAGACAGUCAAAGCUCCUCCUAAGAAGGCCAAGAGCUCUGAUUCUGAUUCUGACUCAAGCUCAGAAGAUGAGGUGCCAAAGAACCAGAAACCAAAGACAACACCCGUGGCAGCUAAAGCUCAGGCUAAAGCCCUAGCCAAACCAGGUAUACCAGCUCGUCCAGCACCUAAAGUAGUCAAUGGCAAAGCAGCUGGUAGUAACAGCAGCAGCAGCAGUAGCAGCAGCAGCAGUGAUGAUGACUCAGAGGAGGGGAAAGCAGCAGCCGUAUCUAAGAAGACUGUACCUAAAAAGCAAGCUGUGGCCAAGGCCCCAGUGAAAGCAGCUGCCACUCCUGCCCAAAAGAGUUCCAGCAGUGAGGACUCCUCCAGUGAGGAGGAGGAGGAGGAAGAGCAGAAGAAAAAACCCAUGAAGAAAAAACCAGGUCCGUAUAGUUCAGUUCCCCCGCCUUCUGUUCCCCCACCCAAGAAGUCCCUGGGAAUUCAGGCUCCCAAGAAAGCUGCAGAGAAGCAGCAGCCUGUGGAGAGCAGUGAGGACAGCAGCGACGAGUCUGAUUCAAGUUCUGAGGAAGAAAAGAGACCCCCAGCUAAGGCAGUCAUCUCCAAAGCAACUACUAAACCAGCUCCAGCAAAGAAGGCAGCAGAGAGCUCUUCAGACAGCUCAGACUCCGACAGUUCUGAUGAAGCUCCUGCUAAGCCAGCCAGUACCACCAAGAAUUCCUCAGGUAAGCCAGCUGCCACUCCCAAGCAGUCUGCGGUUAAGCCAGCUACAACUCCCAAGCAGCCUGCAGCCACUGGCCAGAAGCCUCUGACCAGAAAGGCUGAUAGCUCCUCCAGCGAGGAGGAGAGCAGUGCUAGUGAGGAGGAGAAGACGAAGACUGUAGCCACCUCUAAGUCCAAGGUGAUGGCCAAAGCAGCUCCGUCUUUGCCUGCCAGGCAGGCCUCUCAGGGUGGUGGGGACAGCAGCUCUGAUUCAGACAGCUCCAGCAGCGAGGAAGACGAGGACGAGAAGACGCCUAAACCCCCAGCCAAAAAGAAGCCACAGAAGGCAGGGGGAACUGUAGCCCCUUCCAAACCAGCCUCUGUGAAGAAAGCAAAGGCCGAGAGCAGCAGCACUUCUUCCUCUGAGGACUCCAGUGAGCAGGAGGAAGAGGAGAAGCCCAAGGCCAAGGGCACUCCAAGACCACAAACCGCCAAGGCCAAUGGCACCUCUGCACUGACUGCCCAGAAUGGAAAAGCAGACAAGGACAGCAACGAGGAGGAGCGGGGCAAGAAAAAGGCAGCAGUGGCAGUUGCUAAGCCAGGUUCAGGAAAGAAGCGGAAGCAGAAUGAGGCUGCUAAGGAGGCAGAGACUCCUCUAGCCAAGAAGAUAAAGCCCCAGACCCCCAACACGUUUCCUAAAAGGAAGAAAGGAGAACGAAGGGGAUCCUCCCCAUUCCGAAGGAUCAGGGAGGAGGAGAUUGAGGUGGAUGCUCGAGUGGCAGACAAUUCCUUUGAUGCCAAGCGGGGUGCAACCGGAGACUGGGGGGAGCGAGCCAAUCAAGUUCUGAAGUUCACCAAAGGCAAAUCCUUCCGGCAUGAGAAAACCAAGAAGAAGCGGGGCAGUUACCGGGGAGGCUCCAUCUCUGUCCAAGUCAAUUCUGUUAAGUUUGACAGCGAGUGACCGUGGACCAUCUGUAGCACAGCAGGGGUGAUGAUCUGAGACCACUCACUUUCCCCAGUGGACCUGGGAACCCUCAGCUCUAUCGGGGGAGGGUCUCAGUGAGGAGAGCAGUUUAGAUUAGGUCUGAAGGCUUUGCGUUGUAACAUCGUCUAAGGUCCUUUUCUGUGUUUGUGGUUUUGUACAGAUUUGUUUUUGAGUGUUGGGUAGCAAGGACAAGGUAAGGGGAGUGUUCUUUUUUAAGAAAAAUUGUUUUAGUUGUCAUUCUCCCUGUUUUGUGGAAGUUCUCAUACUGAGAAAUUUGUAUAUUUUACAUUAGAUUAUUUCUUAUUGAUUUUUGUUGUGGUUUUCAGAGGUGGGUUCACAGAUUAAAAUCUCAGCUAUCUUCCAAGAUGUGGUAAAGGUCACAUUAUGAAUUUUUAUAAUUGGAGAAUUCUGUCUAUGGGAGUGCUUGUGUCCACAUUUCAUCCUUUCUACUCCUCAGGGCCCUGGUGAGGGGUGGCUAAGACUGGUUAAUGUAUUUAUCUGUUAAGCAUGAACUAUGUACCUCAUUCGUGGGGUCUAGGACUGAAGUUUUCAGCCAGCAUGGACUUACCUACUUUGGCGGAUAAAAUUUACUGUUUUGUUUCAGGCAAAAUUCUGGUGUGGUGUGAAUGCCGUGGGGUCAGUCUGAAUAUUUCGUUUGCUAUAAUUUUAUUAUUACAUAAUGUUUGCGAUACGUGUUUUUUAAUUUGAAAGCAUAAACUUUUUUAUUGUUCAAAGACAAUUUUUGAUUGGCUUGACCUUUAAGAGUGUCGAAUACUAAAUUGAGGGCUACAUCUUAUUUUUUUACAUUUUAGAGAACAAAAUAGCGUUAAUUUAAUCUGAAAAGCACAUAUCACUUGGUAUUUCUGUCUUGGUAGCAGUGGUGACACAAAAUUAGUUUCUUGGUUUCAUUAACUCCUACAUGGUUGGGAAUCACUGAUCAAGAAAGUGAAAGAAGAAAACCUAUAAUUAAAAACCUUAAUCCUCAGUAGAAAUUAGGUUACAUUAUUCAAGUGAAUUUAUAGGUAACCUGUAAAUGGAGGAUGAGAAGAAUCAUUACAAAGCAUUUUAUCUGGUAAUACUUGAGUUAGACUGGUGUUGGGAGAGCAUCCUAACAGGAUUAUUGUGUCUUGUAGUUGGUGCACGGGAGCAACUGAUGUGCCCCCUUCAGAACCUUGAUUCUCAGUAACAGUGGAGAUAACAGUAAAAAACAGUGAGCAGAGAUACGACUCUUAGGCCAAGCAGGCUGAUCAUAAAGCUGUAGGAGAUGACUGUUGGCAGUGCUCAGCCAGAGUAGAUAGGGAGGAAAGUCGACGAGUUCUCCAAGUUCUCUGGGGCUGGUCUGUCCCUGUGUUGGGAAAGUGUGCCCUAGCUUUAUGGAUGAGUUGUAACUUAAGGAUAGCUUCCCCUUGUUUGGGUUCCACAGAUAACCUGGUUUUCUGUGUCACUGCCUCUAGGAAGAAAAUGUGCUCUUCACGCUGACAUACGUAUUCAGUCUUCAUGUUUCAGGGACCUGAAUUCCUACCUAUGCUGAUGGGUUCUGGCAGUGUUGCUGAAAUCCACACGUUAAGUGAAUCACACACAUGAUGGCUCAUGCCCAUCUGCAGUGUACCUCAUAUGGACACAAAGCAGGAGACUUUCCAAUAUCCUUUUGUGGCUUUAUGUUUCACAGGUUAUAUCCUCACUACUACCCAAUCCUGUUAGGUGGAUAUUAACUAGAUCAUGGUGUCUCAACCUUAGUAUUUGGGGGCUCUGAAAUACUAAGAGUGUUUGAAUGCCUACUAUGUACCAGCCAUAGAACUCCCUGAGAGCUCAGUGUCUAAUAGGGGAAGUCAGAGAUGGGAACAGUUCUGUACACCAUGCUGAGUCCUGUCACCAAGGGUCAGAGUAGCACCCCCAAGGGGACAGCAACAAAAGACUGACCUUGGCCCAGGAUUCUGAGGAGAGUAGCAGCUGCCAGGGGGGAAGAAGGCACAUACCAUGAAAGGAAGAAGAAAUGUUCCCAGUGGGAGAAGAGAGCCUUUAGGAUGGAUCAGGUGGAGGAUGUGUGGUAAGUAGGGGCAGGUUAAUACUGUCUGAGGAUUCAGUAGCAAUGGCCUUUUGUACCCAAGUGAGGAGUUAAUACUUUAUUUUGUUCUCCUGAGUGUGUUAGGGGAUUGCUAGUCCAAUGCAGUGCUCCUGGCACUAAAUACAGCUGCAGGGAAAGCAAAGCCCCUACUGACAACUGAGUCCUUAUCCCCCUGCCUCAUGCAAAGCUGGCUUAAGCUGUCUGCAAUUACUGAAGAGGCCAGUAGGUGGGGCCCUUGCACACUGCAGGGAGCUGGACUCUAUAGUUGAAGCUUGGCAUUGUGUUACCCCACUUAACAUUCAACAAAUUCGGAGCACCUGCUAUGAGCUUUUGGAUACAGAGAUGAAUAAGACGCAUUCAAGUUGUGAUGCUGCUGUGAACACUCUUGUAUCUAUUGGUGUACAUGUGCAAGAGUUCCCUGAAUUUAAACCUAGAAGGGAAAGUGCUGGUCAUAGGGUCCACUCUAUCAUUCUCUACCCUGCUCUGUGCUCCAGGAAGCCGACCUGUGUUGACCAUUUAACCAGCUGCUAGACCCUCUGAUUUCUGAUUAAACUUGGCCAGUGUGGAGCACUGCCAACGUGGAGGACUGGUAAGAGAUCAGAGGGUGAGGGGAGAAUGAGAUCAGGGUACUCUCCUGGUUCCCCAUCUGCAGGGUUGCUGUGGGCACCUAUAUCCCUUGAUGAAAGGCCACAGUUCCUGCCAGGCAGCCCUCUCCACAAAGCUCUCUCUGUCUCUGUAUUCUAGUAAUGGCCCCCCUCCCUCAUUCCUUCUAGGCCUAUAGUGGCCACCACUAGUGCACUUGUAUUUCCCUAUACCAGUUUAUUAGUUUAAUAGUUCCUUUAUUAAACUUUCCUAGAAUUCCCUGGCAGUCCAGUGGUUAGGAAUCCGCACUUCCACUGCAGGGGUCAUGGGUUUGAUCCCUGGUCGGGGAACUAAGAUCCCGCAAGCUGCAUGGCAUAGCCAAAAAAAAAAAAAAAUAAGAAAGAAAAAGAAAUGGGGUUACUGUAAAGAGCUCAUGGAAAUUUGAGCAGUUUAACCUUUAAAAAACAAAAGGUUAAUUUUAGCAAUUUGAGUUGCUAUCAGUUUCCUGCCUUCCUGAUCAGGGUGGGUGUAGUAGAGAGAGCAAUGGAUAUAUUUGGAGGUAGAGCCUUGCGGUUUUGAUGGAUUGGAUGGUGUGACAGACAUGGAUCCUGGCUCUUAGAAAAGUUCUCAUAAAUUGGAGGAGAAAGGACAUACAGUCUAGAAAAAAACACAGGUGCAUACUAACUAACUGUAGUCCAGCUAUAGCCUCAAGUUGCAAAAUGGUUGGAGCCAGCUACUCAAUGCACUAAUCCAUCUGUCCCCUUAUCUCCUUGCCUUGGGGACAGAAUUGACUCUUCUCCAAGUCCUCAGAUAUGCAGGAGAGAAAUUAGAGGGAAUUGGUUGGUUUCCACAGAGGAAUCAGUAAAGUGGGGGUCUCCCAAGGAAGCAGUGGAAAUAGAGAUUCCUGGAAACGAUUCCAGGAAAAGGUCUAGUCAAUUGGGUGAAGUGUCAAAAACCAGACACUGGCUUGAAAUAGCUCAGCUUCCCAACCAGAUGGUCUGGAGAUAAAGGAGGACAACAGAUUGUGGAGAUAUUCAGGGAGAUAUUCUCAGGGUUCAUGAAGAAAAACCCUGUUAUACCCAGUAGCUGUCCUGUGCCUAUUCCAUCCUGAAGCCAUAUACAGGAUAAAAUGGGGGCGAUUACGCCAUCACAGACCCUACCUCACUUAUACCCCCCAGUUUUCCCCCCACUUUCUCUCUUUUCCCUGAAUGCUGCUCUGCUACCCUGGCUCUUCCAAAUGCUGAAAGGUACACAUCAAACUUACAUCCCUGCUAGAUUGCAGAGCAUCUGAGAUCAAGGUGUUAUUUACAUACUUCAGGUUUUCCUGAGUCAGACUGGAAACUCCUGCCUGGAGUAGUUCCCUUUGACUCAACAUAGAGAACUCUGAUUGGGGCGUAACUUCCACGACAUGAUCCUUAGGUCUUCGGCCCCUGGACAUGUCCUCUGGGGCCUGCUAGAUGUAUCAGCCCAGCCUCUCAGACCAGAGCCUCUCGAGUGGCCAGUACUGUAAACUUUCUUUUUUUGUCACACUUACUUUACUCCCACGAGAAGCACUGUGCUUCAUCUUACUCCCUUCUAUGCUGUAAGGAUCCAGGCAUCCUUUAGACAUUUAUCAAUACGUCUUCCAGCUAGCUGUAUGAACUUAGAGACAUUACUUAACUUCUGUAUGUCUCAAGUUGUUAUUAAGUUCUUAACAAUUCCUGGCACAUGACACAACUCAGUAAGUGUUGUUGUUGUUUUUGUUGUUAUUAUUAUAUUAUUAUUAACAUAGCAGUAUGUUCAUAUAACUGGUACAACCCACUUUACCAAAUUUGACUGUUAAAAAUGGUCACAUUUCUCUCUUUUUAAAAUUCUGAGUCUGAAUUCAGUUUAUUUUUAUAACUGUUUUAUUUUACUUUAGUUGUUUAUUUCUUACCUAGAUAUUAUGUGCACCCAGAAAAAAUUCCAAAAAAGUAAAAAGGCCCACCACUUAUCCCAACCACCCAGUUCCCCUCCCCACAGACAGCCCUUAUACCAAUUCUUUCGUUAAACUUCAAGGAUAUUCUAUGCAAUUACAGUCACAGACUCGGCCAUUUUUUCCUUGUACAAAUACUAGCCAUAACAAUGUAUUUUGGAGAGCUUUUCAAAUCAGUUCUUACUGAGUUGCCUAAUUCUUCCUUUUUUAAAAAAAAAAAAAGAUUUCCCUCCUAUUUUUAGAUUAGGGGGGAAUUCUGGGGAUUAGGUUCCCCCCAAUUUAGAAAUUUGGUAUAAUUUUCAUAAAAUAAGAUUCAUCCAUUUUAACAGUACAGUUUAAUAAGUUUGGCAAUUGUAUAUAGUCAUGUAACCAUCACCACAAUUAAGAUAUAAAAUGUUUCCAUCACCCUAAAAAGUCCCCUCUUUCUCCAUUGUAAUCAAUCUCCUCACCUAAAAUCUAGCUCUGUGAAACCACUGACGUGCUUUUCGCUACUCUAGUUUUGCUUUUUCUAGAAUUUCAUUUUUAUGGCAUUGUACAAUAUGCAGUGUUUUUUGUUUUGUUUUGUGUUUUUUUUGCGGUACACAGGCCUCUCACUGUUGUGGCCUCUCCCGUUGCAGAGCACAGGCUCUGGACGCACAGGCUCAGCGGCCAUGGCUCACGGGCCUAGCCGCUCCGCAGCAUGUGGGCUCUUCCCGGACCAGGGCACGAACCCGUGUCCCCUGCAUUGGCAGGCGGACUCUCAACCACUGCGCCACCAGGGAAGCCCUCUUCUCUAGUUUUAAACAAGCAUUUUAUAUAAUUCCAUUUUCUCUCUUCUCUUAGCAUACUAAUUAUACUUAAAAAAUAUUUAGUGGUUUCCCUAGAGUUUGAAAUAUAUAUUUACAACAAAUCUAAGUUCAUUUUCAAAUACACUAUACCUUCAUGAAUAGUGCAGGUAUCUUAUAAAAGUAUUAUGAAUCCCUCCUUCCUGUCCCUUAUAACAUUGUUGUCAUUCAUUUCACUUAUCUAUAAGCUAUAAUCUCCCAAUACAUUGUGCUAUUAUUUGAACAAUUAACUAAUAGAUCAAUAAAAUGAAAGAUUUUAUCUUCAUUUAUACCUUCUCUAACGCUCUUCUUUUUUGUUACAUAGGUGCAAGUUUCUGACCUAUAUCAUUUUUCUUCUCUCUGAAGAACAUUUUAUAAUGUUUCUUGUAAGACAGGUCUACUGGCAACACAUUCCCUCAGUUUUUGUCUGGGAAAGUCUUUAUUUCUCCUUCACUUCUAAAGAUAAUUUUGCUGGAUACAGAAUUCUAGAUUGAUAGUUUUUUGUUUUUUGGCAGUGCUGUGUGGCUUGUGGGAUCUUAGUUCCCCGACAAGGGGUCUAACCUGGGCCCAGCAGUGAAAGCACUGAGUCCUAACCACUGAACCGCCAGGGAAUUCCUGAUGGUUUUUUUCUUUUAGCACUUAAAAUAGUUCACUCUACGCACCUCUUGCUUGCAUGGUUUCUGAAGAGUUCAACAUAUUUCUUAUCUUUUUCCUGUAUGUGUAAGGUCUCCCUGCACCCCACUGUGGCUUCUUUCAAGACUUUGGUUUUCUGUGGUUUGAAUAUGAUAUGCCCAGGUACAGGAUUUUGGGUAUUUAUCCUAUGUGGUGUUUUCUGAGCUUCCUGGAUCUGUAGUUUGGUUCUGUCAUUAAUAUUGGAAAAUUGGGACUUCCCUAGCGGUUCAGUGGUUAAGUCUCUGUGCUCCCAAUGCAGGGGGCCCAGGUUUGAUCCCUGGUCAGGGAACUAGAUCCCACAUGCAUGAUAGAACUAAGAGUUCACAUGCUGCAGCUAGGAGUCUGCAUGCCACAACUAAAGAUCCCACAUGCUGCAACUAAACAUGCUGCAACAGAGAUCCUGCAUGCUGCAACUAAGAUAAUGAAAUAGUAUACAGCUAUUCAAAAAGAUGCAGAAGCUCUAGAUGUACCAAUAUGCGACACUCCCCAAGACAUAUUUAAAAGGCAACAUACAAUAUGAAGGGAAUUCCCUGUCAGUCCAGUGGUUAGAACUCCACACUCUCACUGCUGAGGGCCCAGGUUCAAUCUCUGGUUGGGGAAUUAAGAUCCUACAAACUGCAUGGCACAGCCAUAUAAAUAAAUAAGUAAAUAAAUAAUAAAUUUAAAGUAAAAAAAUAAUAUGAAAAAGUGCUAUCCUUUAAGAAGAUAUAUACAAAUGAAAUGGAGCAGGACCCUAUGGUCCUUCCCCCUCAUGUCCUCUGCCUGCCUUUUGUCUGUGAAAACAAAAAAAAAACCUUUAGCCAAAGAAUAAGUUUAAUCAGAGAAGUGAGAAAAUACAGACACAAAGGAAAACAGUCCAACAAGGCUAAAUAAUAGGGCUUCCCUGGUGGCGCAGUGAUUGAGAAUCCAUCUGCCAAUUCAGGGGACACAGGUUCAAUCCCUGGGCCGGGAAGAUCCCACAUGCCGUGGAGCAGCUGAGCCCAUGAGCCACAACACUGAGCCUGUGUGCCGCAACUACUGAAGCCCGCGUGCCUAGAGCCCGUGCUCCACAACGAGAGAAGCCACCGUGAUGAGAAGCCCGUGCACUGCAACGAAGAGUAGCCCCUGCUCACAUCAACUAGAGAAAGCCCACGUGCAGCGAUGAAGACCCAACACAGCCUAAAUAAAUAAACAAAAUUUGUUAAAAAAAAAAAAACUAAAUAAUAAUAGUUUAGUCAUUAAGCAUAAUUAAGGACCUUUACUUCCUUCUCAAUGGCUGUAGAUAAUAUUCUGAGCCAUAUACUGUGAGCUGUCUUGUAGAUACAGAAACCCCCACCAGGUGGAAGAAGUUAACUACAUGAUGAUCAGACUGUGGCCAUGACAUAAGCUGCCACAAUUCCAAGGAUUGGCCUCAAGGAAAUGGGAACAAACUGACCCUGGAACUGAAGACUAACUGUACCUAAAACAAUCAAGAUGACGCUGAUCAGACUACCGCAUGACCAAUUUUAAGAUGACUGUCAGAGCUGACUGUGCUGUUUCUGCAUGUAGCCCCCUCACUCUGUCUAUAAAAGCUCUUGCCCACUGAUCAUUCAGUUGUUGUGGGGGGGAGUUGGCCUUUGGACAGGAGUCUGCCCUCCCCCACCCCCACCCCACCCCCCCACCCAAAAUAAAGCAAACUUUCCUUUCCACCAACCUUGCUUCUUUAUUGGCUUUUGAGCGAUGAGCAGCCAGACCCCACUUUUGGUUACACAAACAUAUACCUUUUUAUGCAUAGAUCAUAUUUGAAAGGAUACACAAGAAACUGAUAAUUGUGGUUGCCUCUGGGAAACAGAACUAAGGAUAGGAGUGGGAGACAGAGUUGAUUUUCUCGGUUUACUUUUUAUUCCUUUUCACUUUUUUUUUUAAAUAAAUUGAUUAUUUUUGGCUGUGUUGGGUCUUUGUUGCUGUGCGCAGGCUUCUCAUCACAGUGGCUUCUCUUGUUGCGGAGCGCGGGCUCUAGGCGCGUGGGCUUCAGUAGUUGUGGCACACAGGCUCAGUAGGUGUGGCUCGCGGGCUCUAGAGAACAGGCUCAGUAGUUGUGGCGCACAGGCUUAGUUGCUCUGGCAUGUGGGAUCUUCCCGGACCAGGGCUCGAACCCAUGUCCCCUGCAUUGGCAGGUGGAUUCUUAACCACCACACCACCAGGGAAGUCCCUCCUUUUCAGUUUUUACUACUUACUUCAGUCUCACGUGUGUGUGUGUGUGUGUGUGUGUGUGUGUGUGUAUUUGU